rnacentral:rRNA from 1 species
UAGGGAAUCUUCGGCAAUGGACGAAAGUCUGACCGAGCAACGCCGCGUGAGUGAAGAAGGUUUUCGGAUCGUAAAACUCUGUUGUUAGAGAAGAACAAGGACGUUAGUAACUGAACGUCCCCUGACGGUAUCUAACCAGAAAGCCACGGCUAACUACGUGCCAGCCGCCUCGGUAAUACGUAGGUGGCAAGCGUUGUCCGGAUUUAUUGGGCGGAAAGCGAGCGCAGGCGGUUACUUAAGUCUGAUGUGAAAGCCCCCGGCUCAACCGGGGAGGGUCAUUGGAAACGGGGAGACUUGAGUGCAGAAGAGGAGAGUGGAAUUCCAUGUGGAGCGGUGAAAUGCGUAGUUAUAUGGAGGAACACCAGUGGCGAAGGCGGCUCUCUGGUCUGUAACUGGCGCAGAGGCUCGAAAGCGUGGGGAGCAAACAGG